rnacentral:rRNA from 1 species
GACGAACGCUGGCGGCGCGCUUAACACAUGCCAGUCGAACGGAAAGGCCUGCUUUCCCUUGUGGAUUGCGGGUACUCGAGUGGCGAACGGGUGAGUAACACGUGAGUGAUCUGCCCCCAACUUGGGUAUAAGCCUGGGAAACUGGGUCUAAUUCCCGAUAGGACUGCAGGGUGGUGCCUGUGGUGGAAAACGAUUUUCUAGUGGUUGGGGAUGAGCUCGCGGCCUAUCAGCUUGUUGGUGGGGUAAUGGCCUACCAAGGCGGCGACGGGUAGCCGGCCUGAGAGGGGGGACGGGCACAUUGGGACUGAGGUAAGGCCCAGACUCCUAAGGGAGGCAGCAGUGGGGAAUAUGGCACAAUGGGCGGAAGCCUGAUGCAGCGACGCCGCGUGGGGGAUGACGGCCUUAGGGUUGUAAACUCCUUUCGACCGCGAGGAAGCCACCUGGUUGGAAGGGUGGUGACAGUAGUGGUAGAAGAAGCACCGGCUAACUACGUG